rnacentral:rRNA from 1 species
CCUACGGGUGGCAGCAGUGGGGAAUAUUGCACAAUGGGCGCAAGCCUGAUGCAGCCAUGCCGCGUGUGUGAAGAAGGCCUUCGGGUUGUAAAGCACUUUCAGCGGGGAGGAAGGCGUUAAGGUUAAUAACCUUGUCGAUUGACGUUACCCGCAGAAGAAGCACCGGCUAACUCCGUGCCAGCAGCCGCGGUAAUACGGAGGGUGCAAGCGUUAAUCGGAAUUACUGGGCGUAAAGCGCACGCAGGCGGUCUGUCAAGUCGGAUGUGAAAUCCCCGGGCUCAACCUGGGAACUGCAUUCGAAACUGGCAGGCUAGAGGCUUGUAGAGGGGGGUAGAAUGCCAGGUGUAGCGGUGAAAUGCGUAGAGAUCUGGAGGAAUACCGGUGGCGAAGGCGGCCCCCUGGACAAAGACUGACGCACAGGUGCGAAAGCGUGGGGAGCAAACAGGAUUAGAUACCCCGGUAGUC